rnacentral:rRNA from 1 species
UUAAGCGACUAAGCGUACACGGUGGAUGCCCUGGCAGUCAGAGGCGAUGAAGGACGUGCUAAUCUGCGAUAAGCGUCGGUAAGGUGAUAUGAACCGUUAUAACCGGCGAUUUCCGAAUGGGGAAACCCAGUGUGUUUCGACACACUAUCAUUAACUGAAUCCAUAGGUUAAUGAGGCGAACCGGGGGAACUGAAACAUCUAAGUACCCCGAGGAAAAGAAAUCAACCGAGAUUCCCCCAGUAGCGGCGAGCGAACGGGGAGGAGCCCAGAGCCUGAAUCAGUGUGUGUGUUAGUGGAAGCGUCUGGAAAGGCGCGCGAUACAGGGUGACAGCCCCGUACACAAAAAUGCACAUAUUGUGAGCUCGAUGAGUAGGGCGGGACACGUGGUAUCCUGUCUGAAUAUGGGGGGACCAUCCUCCAAGGCUAAAUACUCCUGACUGACCGAUAGUGAACCAGUACCGUGAGGGAAAGGCGAAAAGAACCCCGGCGAGGGGAGUGAAAAAGAACCUGAAACCGUGUACGUACAAGCAGUGGGAGCCUCUUUUAUGGGGUGACUGCGUACCUUUUGUAUAAUGGGUCAGCGACUUAUAUUCUGUAGCAAGGUUAACCGAAUAGGGGAGCCGAAGGGAAACCGAGUCUUAACUGGGCGUUAAGUUGCAGGGUAUAGACCCGAAACCCGGUGAUCUAGCCAUGGGCAGGUUGAAGGUUGGGUAACACUAACUGGAGGACCGAACCGACUAAUGUUGAAAAAUUAGCGGAUGACUUGUGGCUGGGGGUGAAAGGCCAAUCAAACCGGGAGAUAGCUGGUUCUCCCCGAAAGCUAUUUAGGUAGCGCCUCGUGAAUUCAUCUCCGGGGGUAGAGCACUGUUUCGGCAAGGGGGUCAUCCCGACUUACCAACCCGAUGCAAACUGCGAAUACCGGAGAAUGUUAUCACGGGAGACACACGGCGGGUGCUAACGUCCGUCGUGAAGAGGGAAACAACCCAGACCGCCAGCUAAGGUCCCAAAGUCAUGGUUAAGUGGGAAACGAUGUGGGAAGGCCCAGACAGCCAGGAUGUUGGCUUAGAAGCAGCCAUCAUUUAAAGAAAGCGUAAUAGCUCACUGGUCGAGUCGGCCUGCGCGGAAGAUGUAACGGGGCUAAACCAUGCACCGAAGCUGCGGCAGCGACGCUUAUGCGUUGUUGGGUAGGGGAGCGUUCUGUAAGCCUGUGAAGGUGUGCUGUGAGGCAUGCUGGAGGUAUCAGAAGUGCGAAUGCUGACAUAAGUAACGAUAAAGCGGGUGAAAAGCCCGCUCGCCGGAAGACCAAGGGUUCCUGUCCAACGUUAAUCGGGGCAGGGUGAGUCGACCCCUAAGGCGAGGCCGAAAGGCGUAGUCGAUGGGAAACAGGUUAAUAUUCCUGUACUUGGUGUUACUGCGAAGGGGGGACGGAGAAGGCUAUGUUGGCCGGGCGACGGUUGUCCCGGUUUAAGCGUGUAGGCUGGUUUUCCAGGCAAAUCCGGAAAAUCAAGGCUGAGGCGUGAUGACGAGGCACUACGGUGCUGAAGCAACAAAUGCCCUGCUUCCAGGAAAAGCCUCUAAGCAUCAGGUAACAUCAAAUCGUACCCCAAACCGACACAGGUGGUCAGGUAGAGAAUACCAAGGCGCUUGAGAGAACUCGGGUGAAGGAACUAGGCAAAAUGGUGCCGUAACUUCGGGAGAAGGCACGCUGAUAUGUAGGUGAAGUCCCUCGCGGAUGGAGCUGAAAUCAGUCGAAGAUACCAGCUGGCUGCAACUGUUUAUUAAAAACACAGCACUGUGCAAACACGAAAGUGGACGUAUACGGUGUGACGCCUGCCCGGUGCCGGAAGGUUAAUUGAUGGGGUCAGCGCAAGCGAAGCUCUUGAUCGAAGCCCCGGUAAACGGCGGCCGUAACUAUAACGGUCCUAAGGUAGCGAAAUUCCUUGUCGGGUAAGUUCCGACCUGCACGAAUGGCGUAAUGAUGGCCAGGCUGUCUCCACCCGAGACUCAGUGAAAUUGAACUCGCUGUGAAGAUGCAGUGUACCCGCGGCAAGACGGAAAGACCCCGUGAACCUUUACUAUAGCUUGACACUGAACAUUGAGCCUUGAUGUGUAGGAUAGGUGGGAGGCUUUGAAGUGUGGACGCCAGUCUGCAUGGAGCCGACCUUGAAAUACCACCCUUUAAUGUUUGAUGUUCUAACGUUGACCCGUGAUCCGGGUUGCGGACAGUGUCUGGUGGGUAGUUUGACUGGGGCGGUCUCCUCCUAAAGAGUAACGGAGGAGCACGAAGGUUGGCUAAUCCUGGUCGGACAUCAGGAGGUUAGUGCAAUGGCAUAAGCCAGCUUGACUGCGAGCGUGACGGCGCGAGCAGGUGCGAAAGCAGGUCAUAGUGAUCCGGUGGUUCUGAAUGGAAGGGCCAUCGCUCAACGGAUAAAAGGUACUCCGGGGAUAACAGGCUGAUACCGCCCAAGAGUUCAUAUCGACGGCGGUGUUUGGCACCUCGAUGUCGGCUCAUCACAUCCUGGGGCUGAAGUAGGUCCCAAGGGUAUGGCUGUUCGCCAUUUAAAGUGGUACGCGAGCUGGGUUUAGAACGUCGUGAGACAGUUCGGUCCCUAUCUGCCGUGGGCGCUGGAGAACUGAGGGGGGCUGCUCCUAGUACGAGAGGACCGGAGUGGACGCAUCACUGGUGUUCGGGUUGUCAUGCCAAUGGCACUGCCCGGUAGCUAAAUGCGGAAGAGAUAAGUGCUGAAAGCAUCUAAGCACGAAACUUGCCCCGAGAUGAGUUCUCCCUGACCCUUUAAGGGUCCUGAAGGAACGUUGAAGACGACGACGUUGAUAGGCCGGGUGUGUAAGCGCAGCGAUGCGUUGAGCUAACCGGUACUAAUGAACCGUGAGGCUUAACCUU